rnacentral:lncRNA from 1 species
AAUUUAUUUAAGCAUUUCCGCAUGCUGGGCACUAAGGCUGCUUUCUUUCCCGUUACACAAGAAAAGCUCCAAUGUACACCUUUGUACACACAUUGUGUUUGUGCAAAUACAUAAUUAUUUUUUGAAAAUGUGUUCUUAGAAGAAUUAUUAAACUAAUUCUUGAUUCUCUUCCAAAUCCUAGCAGGCAGAAGUGUUUUGGAGAACAGCCUUAGCAUUACCCAGAGGGGCUCUAACAGCUCAGCUUUGGAACAGAGGGCAUCUCAUGUGCUUCUCAGGCUCACUUGAGUGUAGGUGUGUGUGUGUGCUGUGUGUUUGUGUGUGCUGUGUGUUUUGUGUGUGUGCUGUGUGUUUGUGGUAUGUAUGUAUGAUGUAGUGUGUGAUGUGUGGUGUAUGUGUGUGCAUGGUGCAUGGUGUGUUUGGUGUGUGUGGUUUGUGUGUGUGGUGUGUGUAUUUGGUGUGUCUGUGUGGUGUGCAAGGUGUGUUUUUGUGGUGUGUGUAUAGUGUGUGUAGUAUGUAGUGUAUGUGGUAUGUGUGUUUAUGUGUGUGUGUGAUAUGUGUGUUUGAUGUGUGUGUAUGUGGUGCAUAUGUGUGUUUUUUGUGUGUGUGCUAGUGUGUGUUUGGGUAGGAAAGAAGAAGGUGCUGUAGCCUUGCAUCAGGUGGUCCCUUGAAUUUCUGUGACCUCUGACUUGCCUGGAUUCUGGAACAAAUCUCCCACAGCUGUGCACCUCCUCAGAGUGAGUGGAUGAUCCCCUGAGGUGUGACCCCCACCCCCGAGAUGUGACCCUCCCUGAAAUGUGGACCCCUCUGGUGUGAUCCCCUGAGGUGUGAACUCCUGCAGUGUGAUCCUGUGAGGUGUGAUCCCCUGAGGUGUGAACCCCUGCAGUGUGAUCCUCUGAGGUGUGA